GACGAACGCUGGCGGCGUGCUUAACACAUGCAAGUCGAACGGAAAGGCCCUGCUUUUGUGGGGUGCUCGAGUGGCGAACGGGUGAGUAACACGUGAGUAACCUGCCCUUGACUUUGGGAUAACUUCAGGAAACUGGGGCUAAUACCGGAUAGGAGCUCCUGCCGCAUGGUGGGGGUUGGAAAGUUUCGGCGGUUGGGGAUGGACUCGCGGCUUGUCAGCUUGUUGGUGGGGUAGUGGCUUACCAAGGCUUUGACGGGUAGCCGGCCUGAGAAGGUGACCGGCCACAUUGGGACUGAGAUACGGCCCAGACUCCUACGGGAGGCAGCAGUGGGGAAUAUUGCACAAUGGGCGGAAGCCUGAUGCAGCAACGCCGCGUGCGGGAUGACGGCCUUCGGGUUGUAAACCGCUUUCGCCUGUGACGAAGCGUGAGUGACGGUAAUGGGUAAAGAAGCACCGGCUAACUACGUG
rnacentral:rRNA from 1 species